UGCAUAGAUUAUAUAUUUAUCGAGUAUUCACAAUCCAGAUUGAUGUUUUGAUAUGGUGAUUCACAAAUUUGCAGGCCCUUCCAAUUUACUUGGAUAAAAUGUUCAAUCAGUAUGUGGCUAUAAUUCUCUCUGUGACUUUUGUUCUAUUUUUUGGAUAGGUUAUCCCACAAGCUAUAUGCACUAGAUAUGGACUUGCAGUAGGUUCCAACUUUGUUUGGCUUGUUCGGAUUUUGAUGAUAAUUUGCUACCCAAUUUCAUACCCAAUUGGAAAGAUUUUGGAUUGGGUAUUAGGACAUAAUGAAGCUUUAUUUAGGCGAGCUUAGUUAAAAGUCCUUGUCUCCAUCCACAGCC